AAUCAUUGAUAUUCGGUACGGUUAGUUAAGAUGGCCGAGUACGUCACAAACAGGUGAUUGAAUUGAAUGAAGUUACUGAAGAAAACCGGAACAGAUUAACGAAGAGCGUGAAGACUGAGACCCAUCUCUCAGAUGGAAGAACAGGAGUCUACAGGCUGGCUGCUGGGUGUUUAGGAGUGCUGUGUGUUCUACAAGUCACUCUCAACAUCUCCCUGAGGCUGGCUUUCUCCGGUUCUAACGA